AUGGGGGGAACCUCAGUUUAGGGAAGAUUCAUGUAUUCAUGUAGGUUGGGGUUCACAACAUGGCACCCACAGAUUUCCUGGGCAUUCUUGCUAUUACAUAUUAAAUGUGAAUAGGUGUCUUUUGUUAUGUGGGCAAGAUCCACACUUUCAUUGGAUUGUCAAGGAGGUCACUGACUCCCAAAUAGGUUGAAAACCUUAUUGAGUUUGGGAAGAUAAUACCCUAUCAUUUACAGGGCAGCAAGGUGGCUGACCCAUGGUCAUAGGAAUUUUAUAGAUUAACAAUAUUUGCUUUAAGCUGAUGACUUCCAAGUGAGCACUAAUUAGCCCAGUAGGUUGAAAAGCCAUUCCUGAUGUCCAUUUUUCAAGUGGACAGGCUUUUCUGUCUGAGACAGGAGGCUCCCAGGCUGGCCUGGCAGAGGGCUCUGCAGCCACUCAGCCUGAGUUCAGAUCCCAGUUCUUAUUAGCUGUGUGACCAGGGUGCCUUCCCAGCCCUCUCUGCACCAGUUUCUUCUUCUGUAAAAUGGGAACAAUGAUAGUAGCACCUACCUUGCAGGUGUUAACUCUAAGUGAGUUAACACAUAUAAAGUGAGUUGAGCAGUACUUGGCACAGAGUGGGAGUUUUGACUAAGUUUGGGGAUACAUAGGGGUAGUCCCAGGAAUUUGUAUUUUAACAGGCUCUCCUGGUGAUUCCAUCUGCAGGUGUUAUCUAACCACACUAUGUCAAGACCCAGCGAAACUGAACUUGCCUAUUCACAGUGCAGGGCCCUGCUUUGUAAGUUAACACUCGCCAUGCAAAGAAAUACCUGGUGAGCUCCUGAUCCCUGAUGCUGGUGCCCUCUGGAGAGCCAGCUGGGCAUGGCCAGCUGUGAGCAGGAGGGAAUGAUGUCCUGGCCCUGCCUGGCCCUCUUGGCAGGGCUUCUUCAAUGGUAGAAUGCAAUCCAAAUGUUUCCUGGCAACAUGGUGGCAACAGAGGUGAUGGGCGGAGCAUCUUGGCCAGGAUACAGAGCCGCCUGCAGGUGCAGCUCCCACCCGCCGUCCUGCCGCAGGAACAGGUGUCUCCAGUGGCUCCAGGGAACAUUUAGAUUCCAAAUUGUCCCAGAAGCUUGAUGGUCUCUCCGUUCUGGUUUAUGGCAGCCUGUAGGUAGGUGACGCUUCCCAACACCACAAGUUGGCCAGAGCCAGGCCCUGACAAAAAGAUGAUCUGCAGAAGAGCCCACAGCAAACAGCCGGGUCCACAGGGAGCAGCAUCGGUUCACGGCGGGCAAGAGUGUGGCCUCACGUCUGGGAAAGGUGGAAGGUUGAGAACUAGGACCAAGACAGGCCCCGACUGGAAGAACAGAGGCAAGUAGGCAGGAAGAGGGAGGAGAGGAUCCUUGUCAGAGGAAUCAGGGUCGCGAUCCAUCUGGAGGGACUUAAUUGUCCCCAGCCCUCAGCUCAGCAUUGCUCGUGAAAAUGGAGGCUGCCCCUCAAGUGGACAUCGAGUGGCUGCAACUGCUAGAAGGAGAGACGUCAGGAACACACUGCAAACCGCCUUUCACAUUUCACACCUCCAGGCAAUAGAAACAGCCGGACUUUCCUGAAUAUUCUUCCAUGAAGACUGCAGAAGACAAGGGUCUUUCUUUGGGAAAUAACAAUAAUACUUCACUAGAAUGUCAAUAAUAAUUAAGCUGGGGGUGUAUAGGGAAGAAAUAAAAGCAACAUCCCUCAAGGCUUAUAUUACUUCUAAUGUGCAAAUCUUUGCACAUGUGACCUCUCUGCCCCGGUGUGCUAUUGAUGUACACCCAUCAAGGCUUAAGGUAAAGAACCACCACACCCGAUUAUAUGUGUAAUGUGGCUGCACCCUUUUGGGCUGAGGGCAAAAAACAUCUUAUGCAAAUAUCAUCAUUGCGCAAAGGCAAAUGUAAAUGUAUAGGGAGAAGGGGCUCUUUGGGGAUGGGCGGUCAUGCUGGUGGAUGUGAGGAAACAGCAAAAUAACUGAAAGGAAAGAGAAGACAUCUGAAUGAGGUCUUCAGAGUUAGGACACGCAAAGGCUGGCACCUGGUGCAUGGCGAUGGAUACGUUACAGGAUGGGAUGAAAGGGGGAAUGAUGAUGGGUCAGACACACUGAUCCAUCAUGAGGAAGGACCAUGAGCCUGGGAGAGCAGGUUGCUUCAGGGUUGACCCCCCGGGCUGCCAUUUCCCAGGGUGAUUUUGAGCAGGUGCCUACUUAACUUGGCAAUGCCUUAGAA